rnacentral:rRNA from 1 species
AGAGUUUGAUCAUGGCUCAGGACGAACGCUGGCGGCGUGCUUAACACAUGCAAGUCGAACGGUAAGGCCCUUCGGAGUACACGAGUGGCGAACGGGUGAGUAACACGUGGGUGAUCUGCCCUGCACUUCGGGAUAAGCCUGGGAAACUGGGUCUAAUACCGGAUAGGACCAUGGACUUCACGGUUUGUGGUGGAAAGCUUUUGCGGUGUGGGAUGGGCCCGCGGCCUAUCAGCUUGUUGGUGGGGUAAUGGCCUACCAAGGCGACGACGGGUAGCCGGCCUGAGAGGGUGUCCGGCCACACUGGGACUGAGAUACGGCCCAGACUCCUACGGGAGGCAGCAGUGGGGAAUAUUGCACAAUGGGCGCAAGCCUGAUGCAGCGACGCCGCGUGAGGGAUGACGGCCUUCGGGUUGUAAACCUCUUUCAAUAGGGACGAAGCGCAAGUGACGGUACCUAUAGAAGAAGCACCGGCCAACUACGUG